AUUGAACGCUGGCGGCAGGCCUAACACAUGCAAGUCGAGCGAGCGGCGGACGGGUGAGUACUGUAUGGGGACUGCCCGUUAGAGGGGGAUAACUACUGGAAACGGUAGCUCAUCCCGCAUACUAUCGGAUUACCCCUAUGGGAGUAGCUAGUAGGUGAGGUAAUGGCUCAGAUAGGCGACGAUCCCUAGCUGGUCUGAGUGGAUGAUCAGCCACACUGGGACUGAGAAACGGCCCAGACUCCUACGGAGGCAGCAGUGGGGAAUAGUGCACAAUGGGCGAAAGCCUGAUGCAGCCAUGCCGCGGGUAUGAAGAAGGCCCUAGGGUUGUAAAGUACUGUCAGUCGGGAGGCGUUACCGAAAGAAGAAGCACCGGCUAACUCCGUGCCAGCAGCCGCGGUAAUAC
rnacentral:rRNA from 1 species